rnacentral:rRNA from 1 species
GACGUAGGGCGCGAGCGUUGUCCGGAUUUAUUGGGCGUAAAGAGCUCGUAGGCGGCUUGUCGCGUCGUCCGUGAAAACCUGGGGCUCAACCCCGAGCCUGCAGUCGAUACGGGCAGACUAGAGUGCGGUAGGGGAGACUGGAAUUCCUGGUGUAGCGGUGAAAUGCGCAGAUAUCAGGAAGGACACCCGUGGCGAAGGCGGCUCUCUGGGACGGUACUGACGCUGAGACGCGAAAGCGUGGGGAGCGAACAGG